rnacentral:rRNA from 1 species
UACGGGGGGGGGCAAGCGUUGUUCGGAAUUACUGGGCGUAAAGGGCGCGUAGGCGGCCUGCUAAGUCGGACGUGAAAUCCCCAGGCUUAACCUGGGAACUGCAUUUGUGACUGCAUAGCUAGAGUACGGCAGAGGGGGAUGGAAUUCCGCGUGUAGCAGUGAAAUGCGUAGAUAUGACGGAGGAACACCGAUGGCGAAGGCAAUCCCCUGGGCCUGUACUGAAGCUCAUGCACGAAAGCGUGGGGAGCGAA